rnacentral:tRNA from 1 species
GGAGUGGUGUGUGUCAGUGGAAGAGUUUCUGCUUGGCAUGCAGAAGGUCCCCGUUUCAAUCCCUGGAGCCUCCA